UGGAUUUUUUUUGUGAUGAAUUUUCUAGUGAUGAAUUUUCUUCCCUGAAAUGGCAUUUAGUUUUGAAUUUGAGCUACUAUUUGUUUGUUUUUUGAAGUUCAACUGUAAUUAUGAGGUGGGUGUUGAAUUUUAUAUAUCAUCUGACUGGCACUGCUUCUUGGAUUAGACAGACUUGCUUUACAGGCUUUGGUUUUAAUUUUGGUGAUGAAUUAUGGUCUUAUGAUUGAUAAGUGAAAAAUGAAAGAAGCAACAA
rnacentral:misc_RNA from 1 species